AUAUUGGUGUGAGGCCAUCCUAUGAAACAAUAAAACGAUUUGUAACAAAAUACAUAUGUCUCAAUUGAACUGAAAAUCAUAUCAAUGGUCUGCUUAACAAAACAUAUCAAAUAAAAAGUAAAGGAAUAUCACAGUCACAAUGAUGCAUUUCCUAUCUACUAGGAGAGUCACCACUUCUGGAUGUCCAGAGAAACAGUGCUGGAUAUGAAACCAGGAUCCUCCAAAAACUGGGCAAGCAGUCUACCACUGAUUUAUAUCUCAAGCCCAGAGAAGCCUAAUUGAAUAGAAAGAAUAUGGCCUUUCAAUUUAGUUAAACUUGAGUCUAAAUUUUACUAUAAGUUCUGCUACUUAAAAGCAGAUAUAUUUUUUUCAAGGUUUCAAUUUACUUGUCAAAAAAUGGGCAUUAAAAAUACUAGUUAACUCACAGGA